UCCUUCCCUCUCUCCCUCCUGCCUCCCUCCUUCCUUUUUCUCUUCUCUAUUUUAUGAAGUUUCCUGUAAGACAUUUAAUUUGCUGAGCACUAGAGAAAAGAUUCAACCAAAAAUUGAGGAAGUAAACUGAAAUGUAAGGCAUGACCUUCCCUUCCCUCCGACCCACAUGUAACAGAUUUAUGUGCCUUAUUGUAAACAUUCUGCUGCAUCUUUCCUCCACCUGCUACAAGGAGUUAGAGAAUCUGCUUUUAACAAGGAAGAUAAAUGCACCAAAUGUCACGGAGCCUCAGGGGGAUCAGAGAUGGUAAAACAAGUGGUUUAAUGUUCUGAUUUCCUUUUUCUAAUGCAUGCACUAAGUUAUGUUUUCACUGAGUCCCCGAAACCACACAGCUGAAUCUGCUCUCUGCCUAAGCUAAGGGACAUUUGCACCAAUGAAUUGAGCAGAGAGAGAAUCAUUCUCUCGUGGGUGGGUGUGCGAAUGGCAUGGAAGGAAUGGGGUUGAUACAUGAAGAUGCAGUGUGGCUACAUUGGUAAGGACCAUUUAUGCACAACAAAGCAAAUAUAUUUAUACAAAAAUUUUGCUCUGUAUAAGCUGUUUUUUUUUUCCUUUGAGCAGUAUUUUUGUCGUUACUCACUUUCAGAUCUGACCCUCAACAUAAGAAAAUGUUCUAUUGUGGAGCACUAAUUGGCGUCAAGACAUUUUGUGUGCUGCCAUCGCACUGCUUUCUGCCAUAGGACCACGUGAACUUGACCCAGAAAUGAAGCUGAAUUGUAACAGUCAUGAACAACACUGAGUUUGCCAAAAGAAAAAAGAAACUAAGCAAAUGAGGAAGCUGAGGUUCACAGGGAUGCAAGUAAAUUGCCCACGUGCACAGAAAUAAACGAGAACAGUGGCCUGGGGAUAUUCAGAGAAAAUUCCACUGCAGAUAACAGAAUCUAUUAGCCAAGAAGAUGCCGAACAUAUGACCUCCGUGUAUAGCAUAAGUCAUUCCACAUACCUCCAACGAAUGAUGCUCAUGUUGUCCUGCCUGGGGAACACUGCUGUAGACAAGUUGCCAGCAGUCGGUAGCACGGUGCUCCUCACAGCGUGACACAAGCAAUCUGGCA